AGUCACAGGAAAGCCAUCUUAAGGGUCCAUCUGUGCCCCAUACCAGAAAAUAAGGAACUUGGGACUCACACGAAUAUGCUGCACCCAUCCAGAGCAGGGAGGGCCACUGUACAUCAAAGAAUAGCCUUGCUGAUGCUGUUAUAAGAACAAGCCCAGCCCAGUCCUUUCAUACCCCCACAUUAAGACCUCUUCCCGAGGCCAGACACAGACAUGGCCACCCUUCUAUAGCAGCUUCUCUUCAGACAGCCAGAGCACUCUAUGCCCUUGCAUCUGUGUGAGCCAUAGCUGGGGCAGGGCUCCUGGGACUGCAGUCUGCUUCAGACCCUCUCCUAUUGGGUGAUUUACUGCUUCCUGCCAUCUCCAGGUGCUCUCGCCCCACUCCUACCCACUAAGCAGCUUGUCACCAGUUCCACACUGAUGACCCUAGCAACCCUGGCCCUGUUCCAGGUGGCACACAUCACGAUGCCUCUAGCAAGGUGAGCCUUCCGCAGUCCUGCAGCUUUCCAUGCGUCCUGAGGAGCUGCCAGCCUAUCUUUCUUCCCCUGAGUCCAGCAGGCAGUCUGGCUGGGGGACCCUGGGAGGAGAUCCUGGGACGGGACCACAGGCCACAAAAGCUCGCUCUGCAGCCUUUAGCUGGGUGCCUGCUCUCUCUGGAAGCUCUGAGGAUUGCCUACUGAAGCCAGGUGAGGACCCAUGGGCAUGUACCACAUCUCGGGCCAUCAAAACCAGGCUGCACAGAACCACUACUGCAAGUGCCUUUGCCUGUCUUAGAACUUGAGCAAUGAAGACCCUGAAGAAUGAUCGAGAACCACAGACUGCUCACCAGGAGAAGACAUAAAGCAGGAAACAGUGGGUAAGACUGCAGCAUAUGCAACAGUGUAGAAGAGAACGUGGUGAGGAGGGAAGGCUUUAGACCACAGUCUGACUGUCCUAGACAGUGCCCAUGGCCUGCCUGCAGAGCAGGACCCUAUGGCCAGGGCCAAGGCCCAGCCAGCACCGACCCCUGGGCUAGACAAAGAACCCCUGAACUCGUCAGGAAUGGAAGGUGGCAGGCUGCCUGGCACAGCCAAUGUGUGCUGAGGCUGCAGCUGGUUCCAGAAGAUACCACAGAUUCUGCAAUAUUUCAAAGCCAUCAGGAUCCUAACAGCAGUGUCUACAGGUCAAGGCAGCAGAACUCACAGGCAAAGAAGAGUUAGAAUCUGCAGUGUGCACAUUAAGCACAGACUGGCCCAGAGGAAUGAGCUGCCACGUGCUUCCCAACCUGGAGCCAAGCUUGGACAGCCCACCUGGACCAGCUUGCAAUUCUGCAUACAGAGGUUAGGGAGUCCAUGGCGCCCACCUCCCUACACAGGCUACCUUGUCUUACUUUGUGAACAGAUGGCAUCCUGCAGCCAUCACUCUGCGUCCUGCUGCAGCCAUGGAGUCACUCUGCAGCCUAAGGUAAUGUAGAAUACCUCCUCGAGCUGUGUGGCGGU
rnacentral:lncRNA from 1 species